rnacentral:rRNA from 1 species
CAGCAGCCGCGGGAAUACGUAGGGUGCAAGCGUUAAUCGGAAUUACUGGGCGUAAAGCGUGCGCAGGCGGUUUGUUAAGACAGAUGUGAAAUCCCCGGGCUUAACCUGGGAACUGCAUUUGUGACUGGCAAGCUAGAGUAUGGCAGAGGGGGGUGGAAUUCCGCGUGUAGCAGCGAAAUGCGUAGAUAUGCGGAGGAACACCGAUGGCGAAGGCAGCCCCCUGGGCCAAUACUGACGCUCAUGCACGAAAGCGUGGGGAGCAAACAGGAUUAGAUACCCCAGUAGUCCCUGUCUCUUAUAC